ensembl:snoRNA
CUUCCGGUGAUGAUGGAUUUCGGUGACUUUCGUUCUUCUGAGCUCGCUGAAGCCACGCGCGAAAAUCUGAGGAGG